CCGCGCGGCCCCGCGAGAGGGGCUGGGCGGGGCCUGUAGGGCGGGGCCUGCAGGCUGCGGCGAAACCCCGCCUCCUGCGGUCAGGUGGUCCGGCGCAGCCAUAUUUUUUUGCACAAGCUCCACCCUCCAUUCCUUGUCCAGGCAUCAGUGGGCUUCUUUGCUAGAAGGGUGUCUUCAGUUCAUCCGUAAAAAGUAGACGAUCAUUGAUCAGUUAAAACCAGAUCCACAGCUCUUCAAACUUUUGAGAUUUCAACAACAACACGGCAAACAAAGUCCGUUGGAAGAAAUGUCCAGUAAUGAAAACAGAACAGGGUCUGGUGGCCUAAGAAGAAAAUCAAGCAGACGGAAGUUGGAGCCUCAGAGAGCUGGAGACUAUGGACAACACCAUCAGCUGGCAAAAAGACAGUAGAGGAACCCAGAUAUCUAAAUUCCGGGCUGUUCUAUAUGUAUUCCUCCAGUGUCAGGGUCCUGUUGUCUACACAGAGCAUGUGGUUGCCUGAGAAGAGAAGGGAGUGUAGACUUGGAGGCUUACUCGGAGAGGAGGCUCCGGGUGUGUUUGGUGGAUAAAUGAUCCCUUCAAGGUAGAAAAGAAAUGGUGUGUUUCAUUACAAAAUCUGUGCCCCACCCCACCCCACCCCCAGCACUCUAGUUGUUUAUCUAUUCACCCAGCCACGUCCUCCAUUAACAUCCAUUACGCAUCUACUACGUGUCAGUGGAGGGCCCCAGAUCACACCUCUCCUAAAUAUAUUUCCUUGCCAUAUUUCAAGAUGGUUAUUCUGAGAAACAGUCCACGAAAAUAGCUCUGGAAAUCUGCUCUUGGGCUGAAGACGGUUCCAUCAAUCUGCAUCAGCAGAAAAAAGCAGCAGGAAAGGGCAGAAGCACUCUCUGAGAGUCCCUGGAUCUGCCCAGGAAAGAUUCUUAAACCGGAGGUUUAAACAGCAGAGACCGAGAGUACCCUCCCCCCCUCCCCCAGGCAGAGGUGACCACAGGUGGCUGCAAUUUGCAGGACAGGCUCUGAUCACAGAGCAGCUUCAGUGCUGAAAGCUCUUGGCUUGGGUCCUCACCUCCCUUCAUCCAGGAAAGCCCCAAACCCUAGUCGUUUGUGUAACACAAAAUGUUUAAUAAAUGUCAACCACCUGGCCUUUCCCUUA